UAUCCAAGUUUUUCAGUGUUUUCAAAGCCUGGAACACUGCCAUGAGCUCUGCGUACUGUCCUGUGCCUUGCACUACUCCCUCAUUUGAAGCUAUGACCUUGUUGCUCUGUUUCAGAAUCAAAAGCCCAGUGAGCUUCCUCGUCAGUGGCCGUUUUUGAGCCAUCUGUGAAAACAACUGUAUUUUUAUAAAGCUCUAAUUUCUUUUUCUGUCAUUUUUUAAGUUCUUUUUGUCUGAUUUUCAUAUCUGGAUCUAGAAGCAUACUUUCCCAUCUCUGCCAUCAGCUAUUAAGCGCACGGUCAUCCUUUACAUUGUUUUGGAGAGAUGAGCUAAUACUGCUGUUUUCAUGUUAACAAAUAUUAUUUGGCCCCUUGCCAGGCCUUUCAACUCGGAAAUAUCGUUUUCUAAGUGCUGCCAGCUGCUUCUUCACACCAGUAAAUUUAAGUUCUUGGAUCUCCCAGCUUCCAGUCAUAAUUUUACCAGGACCAUUCCCGACGGCUGAGAGAAUCCUGGCUGGUUGUUGUCCUCCCUUUUCUCAAUAAUUUUUCCAAGUUCAUCCUGAUUUAUGUUAGUCAAUAAUACAUUUAUGGUCAAUUGACCUUCCUGUGACAUAUCUGUAAUUCCCAAUAGUAUGCCUUCUAAUACUGAAUUAACCGGGUGUUUAAAUUGUCCUGUUUCCAUUAAAGUCAUAUGUAUUUAA